UUAUUGACUUUUUCCUUGAAGGUGGGGGUAAGGGGAUGGUGUGGGUACUCAACUAUAAGUUAAAUUGGUGCUAUUUGCUGCCACCUGUGCUGUGUACAAACUACAAAGAUAAUGAAUGAAUAAUUUAUGCAUAGUAUCAUGAAGUAGAAAGUGUAUGCUCUAUCAGAUAGUUUUGUUCGUCGGCUUGGACUAUAGAGAUAUUUGCUGCCACCUGCGCGUUGCACAAAGAUAGUGAAUGAAUAAUUUAUGCAUAUUAGUAUGAAGUUGAACGUGUAUGCUCUAUCACAUAGUUUUGUUCGUGGUUUGGACUGUAGAGAUGUGUUUUGCCAAAUGUGUAUCUGGUGAGCGAUUGCUAACGAAUAGAAUUAGCGAUUGCUAACGAUUUUCAUUCUAUUACCUACUUAUUUUGUUAAAAUUUGCUUAGAGAUAUUGUAGCUGACUUAAUAUCUUUAUCCUACAAAUAAUGAUUGCUGACUUCCUUUACUGUCACAAAUAGUAACCUUCAUUCGGUGUUUGGAAAUGCAAUUAGUAUACCUUUUCUGUCUAUACAUUUUCUUCAUCCACAUACUUUGGG
rnacentral:lncRNA from 1 species